CGCGUAGGCGGCUUGGUAAGUCUGAUGUGAAAUCCCCCGGCUCAAUCGGGGAAGUGCAUUGGAUACUGCUGAGCUGGAGUGCAGGAGAGGAGAACGGAAUUCCAGGUGUAGAGGUGAAAUUCGUAGAUAUCUGGAGGAACAACAGAAGCGAAGGCGGCUCUCUGGACUGUUACUGACGCUGAAGCGCGAAAGUGUGGGGAGCAAACA
rnacentral:rRNA from 1 species